rnacentral:misc_RNA from 1 species
GGGUGUGGGGUGUGGUGGUUUGACAUCGAGUAAACCCAAUAGCUAGUCAAAUGUGAUUAUUCUUUUGAAGAUCAAGAAAAAGGAAAUCUAACAGCAAAAAAGGACUGCCAUCAUUUCGACUUCAGUAAAUCAGGCCAUAUUAACUUGGUUCACAAAACUAUGAACAAUAUAUACACCAAUAAUCCAUAUCAUCAAUUAUCCAACCGAUCAUAUAAUCACUAAGAUCCAUGACAUAGCCACUAAAUUCAAGCAUUCACGACUUAAACGACCCAGUUGUAUUACUUACCCAUUGCAUGUGCCGUGGGAAAACAAUACCCAAUUCUCCACUAACUUCACCAAGCUCAGUUCCACACUAUAUUUCCCUCAAUCUAUUAAAUAUGCAAAUCUCUAUCACUAUACUUGCAUAAAUCACAGCAGAAACCCCACCCGAAAAAAAAAAAAACUC